GGAGGCCAAGCCCUUUGUCCCCUCAGAGGACACCCGUUCAGAGGCACUCUUCUCUGACAUGGGACAGCAGCUGCGGACGGUUGCUGGAGGCAGUCUGAUGCGCCUCCGCGUUAGGAAGAUUGGGGUUUGUUCCGGGUCUGUGAUAUUAGUUCUGGGACUAUUGUCAAGGUGCAAAACUGUACCGAGCUUCAUUUUCUUUAUGUGUAAAUGAAGCUGUCAGUACCUAUUCUACAGGAUUACUUUGAGGAUCAGUGAAAUAGUGUAGUGUCUCUACAUGGUUGGUUUUUAACAAUUAAUAUUCUUUCCUUUUCCGUGCCCCAGGGCCAGGACUCCAGUGAGCCCAACCUGGUGUUUUCCAGUGUUUUCAGGAGGCAUUCAUUCUCAGGGGCCCACCUGGGCUUGUGGAAGCCCGAGAGUGUGUAUCUCCUUGAAUUUUGCACCCUGGAUGCCUUCCUUGCUCACCCUGGACCCAGCCCUGCCCUGCUUUUGAGCAAUUUGUAUUCUUGGUUUAACAAAGUGUGGAGAGGACCCUCAAGGAUCUCAGAACCUACUGGAUGAGGCAGGAAAAUAAAAAGACACAGAGUGUGCUGUGUGAUCAGCAGAGAUGAAGAAAGCUUCCUUAGUGAAGGAGGAGAAUUACAGAGCAGCGCCAGCGUUGGGGAAACAUGCUCAACUUCCAGCAGUCAUUCCCGCUCGCCUCCUUUCUCUUUGCUCGAGGUCUUCGGUUCAGGCUCCACAACUGAUUGAUGCUGUUUUCCUGUUAGUAUCUCUUUUUCAUCAUGCACGAUCCUCCAUAGUGAUGGAAUGGAGACAGCUUCUCAGAGAAAGCACAGCUUUGGAAGCUUCAGCCAGACACCGUACAAGGGACAGGGGAGACUGAGAUGAAGAACACUCGGUGCUUCUUCCCAAGGCACUCGCAAUCUCGGAGAAGACAGAUGUGUACUCACACAGAUGCAUAUGCUACAGCACUGUGUGAUGAUGCUAUACAUGCACAAAGUGACCGGGAACAGAGCGGCCGUCCCUGGCGACUCAGGGGAGGCAUCACACGAGAGAUGACUUUAGAACCGGGCCUUUAAAGGAAACACAGGAUCUCUGCAGCAGUCAAGAAGGGGAAGAGAAGACUUGGUGUUAAAAAAUCAUGGGUUCAGGACAUACUGCCCCACAAUAUGGCACUUUGGCAUGUUGAAUAUUUUAAGCUAGAGGAAUUUGAGAAAACAGCAGAAGCAGGAAGGUCCCCUGAGGCGGUCCCCUGAAGUGGUCAUAAACUUUGGGAAGGACUCUGACCUUCUGAAGCAGGUCAUAAGACCCUCGUGUGAGAGUUGCCCUUCCUGUAGCUGGAGGAAAGGGGCAUCCUUAUCUCUCAAGACAAAAGGAGACAGAGAGGAAUCCAGAAAAACAAGCCUUGCUAAGCUUCCCCAGUUCACCACACUUACAUUGUACUCUCUGCCCUGUGAUAUUUCUCCAUGACUUUCCCCUCCUUAUCAAACCUAUUAUUAAAAACACUCCCAUUUAACUGUUUCUUCAGAUCCUCAUUUCCUUAUGAAGGCUCUCUCGUCACAUAAAACUUGUAUUAAAUAAAUUUGUAAGCUUUU
ensembl:lncRNA novel transcript